GACGAACCGUGCGAACGUUGUUCGGAAUCACUGGGCUUAAAGGGCGCGUAGGCGGACGACCAAGUCGGGGGUGAAAUCUUUCGGCUCAACCGGAAAAUAGCUUUCGAUACUGGCCGUCUUGAGGGAGGUAGGGGCAUGCGGAACUUCCGGUGGAGCGGUGAAAUGCGUUGAGAUCGGAAGGAACUCCGGUGGCGAAAGCGGCGUGCUGGAUCUCUUCUGACGCUGAGGCGCGAAAGAUAGGGGAGCAAACGGG
rnacentral:rRNA from 1 species